rnacentral:tRNA from 1 species
AGAAAGUUAGUCUAACCAAGACAGUUGAUUUCGACUCAACAGAUUAUAGUUCUAACCCUAUAACUUUCUU